rnacentral:lncRNA from 1 species
UUUUUUUUAUCACUCCUUUUAUAUUACGGAAGCAUAGAAAAUUCAUAGGGAAGACGAAAGUUCAUGUGGGCUGGCCAUUAGCCCAUUUUGACUGCACAGUAAUCUCUUAGGCAGAUAUUAAGUGUGGAAGCUUGCGCUGGGAUUGUAGCGUUAAUGGAACCCCAAUUGAAAUAGUGACAGUCUAGUUUUCGUCUCAGCUGAUAGGCCCCAGCCUUUCAUCCAGAUUCUAAUGGACUUUGAUUAUGUUUGUUCCCAACUUUGUUCUAAGAUAAUGAAAAAGAAAGGAGACAGAGAGAGGUAAUCAAUUGAUCAAGCAAGUGAAAUGAAGAAAGUGAAAGAGUAGAACAAAUACAACUUAUUUUAAGAGCAAACUAAGCUCACAAUGGCUUCUCUACCUUAUUCAUACAAGUUUAAUUUGUGUCUCUAGAUGAGACUUCAGUGUCUAGAACUUGCAAAUAUUUUUAGAAAGGCAUAGGCUUUGGAGGCAUGGGUUCUGUGCACAUCUUCCAUUGCUCAAAAGUUCCAUUCACAAAAUCAUAAUAACCUCCCCUCAAUGUCAGAGUUCCACUCAC